AUGCACCAGCCUGACUCAGCCGCAGACAUUAGUGCUAGGAAGAUGGCGCACCCGGCAAUGUUUCCUAGAAGGGGCAGCAGCAGUAGCAGCGGCAGCAGCUGCGUUACUGCUCCUACUGCACCAGGUACCGGCGUUGGGAGCGCUGCCCUCUCCGCCGAGGAUUACCAGCCGCCCCUGCUGGUCCAGCCGCCGCCUCCAUCUCCUGCAGCAUCCUCAUCGGCAGGCCCGCAGCCGACACCCCCUCCUCCACAAAGCCUGAACCUCCUCUCGCAGUCUCAGCUCCAGCCGCAGCCUCUCGCGCAGACCGGAGCUCAGAUGAAAAAGAAAAGUGGCUUCCAGAUUACCAGCGUGACCCCUGCUCAAAUAUCUGCCAGUAUGAGCUCUAAUAACAGCAUAGCUGAAGAUACGGAAAGCUAUGAUGACCUGGAUGAGUCUCACACGGAAGACCUGUCUUCUUCAGAAAUCUUGGAUGUUUCUUUAUCCAGAGCCACUGACUUGGGUGAACCCGAGAGGAGCUCCUCUGAAGAGACUUUGAAUAACUUCCAAGAGGCAGAGACUCCCGGGGCCGUUUCUCCAAACCAGCCUCAUCUUCCUCAGCAGCACCCUUCUCUGCCUCAUCAUCCGCAGCAGAGUGUUGUGAUCAACGGGAGCGUUCACCCCCAUCACGUCCACCACCACCAUCAUCUUCACCACCACCAUCAUGGACACCAUCACCCAUCGCAUCCUGGAGUGGGCAGCGCCCCAGUUUCUGGAGGACCACCACCCAGCCCAUCGUUUAGAAAGCUAUCAACAACUGGAAGCUCUGACAAUGUUAUAUCAGCUGCGCCAGGUUCUGCUGCAUCAUCCGCUGGUUCCCCUGCAUCUGUCGUGUCUAAUAUCCGCACUACGAGUACUCCUGGCAAUCUAGGUGUAAGUCCUGCUACUGGAACUAGUACCUUGAAUAAUAUGGGCGGUGGUAGUUCUAGUGUGGCAAGCAGCAUGCUUGGUACUAUGAAUUUAAGCAACAUCACAAGUACUGGUAAUGUAAAUGCUUUGUCUGGAACUAGUGGCAAUGUUAAUGUGAAUAUCUUGAGUGGUGUUGGCAAUGGUACGAGUGCUUCCUCUAGUGUCGUUAACAAUGUUACGAAUCCGAGUCCAGGAGUGGCCGCGGGAUCUAGCCAGCAGCAGCCCGCAUCUGGCACCUCAAGGUUUAGAGUUGUAAAAUUAGAUUCUAGUUCUGAACCUUUCAAAAAAGGUAGAUGGACAUGCACUGAGUUCUAUGAUAAAGAAAACACUGUUGCAGCUUCAGAAGGAGUAGCAGUAAACAAAGCAGUAGAGACGAUAAAACAAAACCCGCUUGAAGCAACUUCUGAAAGGGAGAGCACCAGUGGGAGUUCUGUUAGCAGCAAUGUAAGCACACUGAGUCACUAUACAGAAAGUGUGGGAAGUGGAGAAAUGGGAGCACCUACUGUGGUACAGCAGCAAGCGUUUCAAGGUGUGGGUCCUCAGCAGAUGGAUUUUAGCAGCGCUGCUCCUCCAGCAAUUCCAGCAUCUAGUAUACCACAGAGUGUUUCCCAAUCACAGCUUGCACAAGUCCAGCUGCAUUCUCAAGAGAUAAACUAUCCGCAGCAGAAGCCAGGGGUCCAACCUCCUGCACAGGCCAGUCUAACCACUGUUACUGGGGUUCAGCCAGCCCCGGUUAAUCUACUAGGUGUAUCCCCAGCUCUGGGCCACCAGCAGCCUGCCAUUCAAAGUAUGGCUCAACAGCAGUUACCGUAUUCUCAGCCGGCGCAGCCUGUGCAGACUCUGCCAGUUGUACAACAGCAGCAGUUGCAGUAUGGACAGCAGCAGCAGCAGCAGCAAGCGGUUCCUACACAGAUGGCUACAGGUCACGUUAAAUCUGUGAACCAAAACUCUGUUACAGGGGCCGUGCCAGAGUACAUUCAGCAUCAGCAGAUCCUUCAGCCCCCAGCACCUGCCAUGCAGCCCAGUCCUGCAGGAGUAGGGGCAGGGCCUCCGGUUCCUGUUGCCCAGGCCCAGGGCAUGCAGCCUACAGUCCCGGCGCACCCAGCCACUGCCCCAGCUCAGCCUGUUGCGCACGCCUCAGCAGCGAUACCAGGUGUGGGUACCAGUGGGCAGAUGCUGAGCGUCGGGCAGCAAGCAAACGUGGCCACUGUGGUGCAACCACCACCUGCUGCAAACCAAAUUCCACCUCCAGUUAUGCCAUCAACCGCUGCUCCUCCAUCUUCACAAGUGGUGCAGCCUGUGCAGACAGGAAUAAUGCAGCAGGGAUUACAGGCUAGCGCUUCAGGCCUUCCUCAGCAAAUGGUUAUUGCUCAGCAAAACACUUUGUUACCUGUACAGCCGCAGGCACAAGCGGUGGAGUCAGUGGUGCAAGGAAUGACUGGCCAGCAGCUGCCUGCAGUUAGCCCCAUACCUUCUGCUAGUACUGUUCCUGCACCGAGUCAAGCUGGUUCGGCUGUGCCUCCUGGCAUACCUUCUGCUUCUAUAGGUAUGGGACAGCCGCAGAACAUAGCCCAGGCUUCAGCUGUGCAGAAUGGGAACCUGGCGCAGAGCGUCAGUCAGCCUCCGUUGGUAUCAACAAGUAUAGGUAUGCCGGUGGCACCCAGUGUGCCACAGCAGAUACCGCUGAGCUCUACCCAGUUCCCAGCACAAUCACUAGCCCAGCCAGUUGUAAGCCAAAUGGAAGAUGGCAGGCGCCCUACAGAACCUUCCCUCGUUGGUUUACCUCAAGCUGCCAGCGGUGAGAGCAGCGUUGGAGCGUCGGCCAUCGCUGAUGGCGGCAGCAGUAACGUCCCAGCCUCGGCUUCCCUCUUCCCACUGAAGGUGCUGCCUCUGGCGACGCCCCUCGUAGAUGGGGAGGAUGAGAGUCUUUCUGCCUCCCUAUCCUGGACGUAUGGAGUCCCUGCCUCAGCCUACGGCUUCAUUCUUUUUCCAGCUGCCCACAAAAGUAAAGAACCAGUGUGAAAGUUUGAAGAAAGAAACCACUCAGAGGACUGAGUCUCAAGCAAAAGCUCCAGGUUGCAGACUCAGAAAGAAACUUCCUUUGGGGAAGGAUCUGCUUCCAGGAUUUGCUCGUCUCUUUUUCCUUGGGCAAACAGAGUUCUUGAAGCAAACAACAGGGUUGCAGGACACCUUCUAACCUUUAUACUGCUUCACAAGCCUUCGGCAGAAGAUUAUGAGAGCCAUUUGUGUUGCUGGAAGAUGACUGGGUUUGGAUCUUGGCCUUCCUUAAGCAGGAUCUCCUGACAAAAAUGGGAUUGGGAAAGAGAUGACUCCUUUUUCCAUCAUACAGAGCCAUCCUAGAAAUGGAAGCGUAGGCAGAACAUUACUUCUAACACGUGAUUCUUUAGGGAAUUUGGCUUCCCGUGGUCCUUUUGUUACGAUGUCAUAAAGAUGUUUUAUAAAACCUCAACCUGGCAUCUUACCACCUGAUGAAGAUCAAAUCGGUAAAUCCAACUUUAGGAGUUUACAGGUCUCAUAACGUGAUGAGAUCUUGCUAACUUCUGUAUAGGAGAUGCCAUGUGAAUCUGUGAAACUGGGUUCUGCUGUGGUUCAGGCUGAUAUGUUUGUAAAGCCUGUUCUACUUAUAGUCUAUUUAAAUGAUUACAAAGCAUAUGGAUGAGGAUUCUUAUGGAAAUAGUAUUUAAUUAGGCUUCCACCUCUUCGAUUUUAUUUAAAAAAAAGAAGACAAUUAUCCAUGGCGAUAGAAAAAAAUAUUGCGUCUUUUGAGGUUUCAUGUGAUUUUCUGUAGAUAAAAGUUAUAUUCGAAGUGCUGAAAGUGGAAAAACAUUGAUUUUUCUUCAAGAUCGAAAAGUUGUUAGAAAGCAGAAUGCUUUAUUUUUUUUCCCUAAGGGAUUCUGUAGUCAAACUAGAAUGUCUUGCGAGAUCUUAAAUAAAAACCUUAUGUUUGGCAGUAGCGAACGACACAUUCGUGUCCAUCUACUCUUGUUCUUUUCACCGUAGGAAAUUAAUUUUGAACAAUAGGACUUAGUUUUAGCGUUCUAACUGGGAAAGAGCAAAGCUUUGUUGUGACUCUGAGUGUGAGAAGGGCUGGCAGGAGGGCGAACUGAACCCUCUGGCAGGUAAAGAGCUCUUCUUUUUUUCUGUUUUCUGCUUCUGGCAGUUGGAGUAAACCAGACACUUGUGCUUGAAUCCAAUUAAUUUCUUAAAUCGGUUACUGUGCUAACACUGUUUUUGACUAAUGCCUAGAUCUUUCAUUAGAUGCACCAGCGUGUUUAAAUUGUUGAUUGGUCUUAAUGUAGCCCUGAGGCUACUGCUUCAUGGCAGUUGUGACUUCUUAUUAUGCUGGAAUGCAUCGCAGCCUUAGUACAUUCUAAAAAUAAUUGUUCAGAUGGUGCUGUUUAAGUACAUUCUUAUGUUGUGAGCCGUUUUCACUGGACUUUGUGAAAUUUAGCUGUCUGUUGGAUGCCUUUAAUAUCUUUAUUUCUUUUUCCAUGAAUAUCAGACUACUUUGUCUUGCGUCUUCUGUUGUUAUCAAGUAAAAUGCUGAAUUUAUGACCUGAUAUUUUUAGAAAACAGUCUGAUACAUGUGUUAAACUAUGUAGCUGCAGUAACACUUGUGCUCUUUGAAGUUUAAAGAAACUGUUUUAAUGUGACAAAUGCUUCUUAAAAAAAAAAAAGGGGGGGGGGAAGUGUGUGUGUAUGCAUAUGGUGACUUCAAAAUUGAGUAGUUGUCAUAGGUACGGACCUUUGGACAUAAAUUGCGUGCUUAACAGGAGUAAUCUGGAGGUUAUAAACUGAAGAUCUGUGAGUCUUAGAAAUAAAUACUAACAUCUGUGGAUUGAGGUCUGUGCCAGCAGUUCUCUUAGUUGAAAAUACCUGUGCUUUUGUGGCUUCUGACCUGCAUAAGGUUUGAUAUGGUUUGUGCCUUCCUUAAAGGGUACAUCUGCCUCAGCCACGGUUCUUGGUCGUUUUGUUCUGUGGUGUAAGGCAAAUUUAAGACCACUGAACACUUGUGAACUCUAAAUGCUUAUAGUAAAAUAACAGAGGUACUGAGAACUUUCUGAUGUUAUUGUCUCAGUUGCUGUCUCCAGGGAAACAUAAAAUGACUUCACUCAGCCCCCUCCUCUCCAUAGUAACAAUUAAAAAACAAAAAAAACAAAACCAGAAAAUUCUCCAAAAUCUGUUGUUUUUAUUAAGUCAGCAUUUCGAUACUUGUUGUGUGUCAGCAUUGUUAGUGUACCACUAUCAUGCUCUGGGCUUUGCAGCUGGCAUCUUGGAUUCUUAAGUUGUUUAGAGCAAUAACUUCUGCUUUUGUGUUAUUUAAUAAUAAAGAUGUCUAAAACCAUU